GGGUAUUAUGGAGGGGCACUUACUCUUUAUAUUUUCAACCCUCAGGAAAAACACAAACAAUCUGGAUUUUUUCUUCUGAAUUUGAUUGUUCCCAAAUAAUAUUCAACAUUUAUGUAUAAAAAACAGAUUUACUACAGAUAAAUAAGAGGAGAAAAGGUUUAUUAGUCACAGUCAUCUAUAAGACAAUGCGCGAACAACUUAUAAACGUUAUAUACUGCCGCCGGAGGCUCCGCCCCUCAGAGAUACAGAACGGGAUUGGUUGAGCUCACUAGACGUCUUGAGGGAAGUACCACUACACAGCCCUGGAAGAGUGGUGGAACGCACACCCGGAAGUAAAUGUCAGACGUCAGGGAGUACUUCCGGUCCAGGCCUUUUGACACAAAGAAGAGAAAGAAGAAGAGAGAUGAUGGGUUGUGAGCGUUAUAUCAGGAAGUGACCAGACGUGGGCUGAGCGAACCACAAGUACCAGAUGUCGUCCCCAGUCUGGAGGAGCUCUGGCCUCAGAUACUCUGAUGCUCCAAACCAGGACCGAGGGGCUCAAUACAAACUGUAUGAAGAUGCAUGAACGAAACCUGCCGACUCCUGGCAUCAUCUGAUAAGACCAGCAGUGUCUUCACACAUGAGGAUUCCAGGCUAAAUAAAAAAUCCACCGCAAAAUGUGAACCAGAUUUGGUAAAUACCGAGAACAUGGCUGAACAUGCAACUUUGCCUGAAGAAGAGCAGCUCCAAAGCGUUAAGGCCCAUUCAUCGGAUAACGUAAAGGAAGAAUCCUCUCACGUUGGGGAGGAAGAUGCACUUUGGGAUUUCAAUAGUCCUAAAGCUGGUAAUGUUCCUAGACCAAAACGCCAUACACAACCACAUCCUUCUACUCAUAUUAAGGAGGAACCAGAUUCAUGGGAGGAUGGACAUCUUAAAGACACUAAUAUGUAUAUACAAUAUUCCUCUACUAUAAAAGAUGAACCGGUCUUGUGUUGUGAAGGAAACUUCAUAGACCUCAACACGUCUAUAGCCGCAGAUACUUGUUAUCAGUCUGCUUAUAUAAAGAAGGAAACAGUCUCAUGUAAUGGAGGAACCAUCUUAGACCCUGAACUCUCAGAUCAUACGGAUCAAUAUCCAUCUACUGAUGUUAAGGAGGAACCACCCUACUGGGAAGAAGGAAAGCUUUCAAAUACUGGUGAUACAGAGCAAUAUCCAUCAAAUGUUAAGGAGAAAACAACCUUAGGUGUAGGAGAAAACCUCUCAGACCACCUGACUUGUUCUCCAGACCUUACACUAGAAUAUUCACCAACUCAUAUCAAGGAGGAAUCAGUAUUAUGUGAUGGAAGCAGUCUGAUGGAAAAUGAGAUCUAUGCUUUUACAUAUACCGGAGAGAACAUGGAAGAUACCGUAUUUACCAAGAAUUCCCCACAGCUGGUGCAAGGCAGCAAGUACAUCAAGUUCACAUCUCCAUCCCCCCAACCUGCUAAGACAGGGUACACAUGCCCGGUGUGCCAAAGAAGCUUUAAAAAUCAUGGGAAUCUUGUCAAGCAUCGAGAAGCACACAACGGAAAGAAGCCGACAUGUUCUAUUUGUUGGGAACAAUUUCUCUCCCAGUCGGACCUCAUGAGGCACCAGAUCCAAUCCCACAAUGUUGAUAAAUCAACCAAAGUGAGAAAAUCUAAUUGCUUAAAGUGUGGGGCUAAGUUUUCCCUUAAGUCAGACCUGUUGGAACAUAGGAAGGUCCACAAAAUUGAAAAACGCCUUUAUUGCUCCCAAUGCAACAAACAGUUUUCUUGUAAUUCUCAACUUGUCAUACACCAACGAAUUCACACCGGAGAGAAACCUUUCACGUGUUCUGAGUGUGGAAAACAGUUCUCCAACAAGUCAGAUCAUGCGGAGCAUAUAAGGAUCCACAUGGGAAGUAAACCAUUUUCUUGCUCAGACUGUGGAAAGUGCUUCCACAGAAAGGAUGACCUCACCAGCCACCAGCAGAAACACGGGGGCGAUAAGACUUUGACGUGUUCUGACUGCAGGAAAUGUUUUGUCAAUGAGAACAAAUUAUUGAUACAUCAGAGAUUUCACGACCUAAAAAAACACUUUUCAUGUUCUAUCUGUGGGAAAAGCUUUACCAACAAUGAUGUUCUUCUCAGACACCAGCGUUGUCAUGCAGACAAAAACCCGUAUAUCUGUGGUGACUGCGGCAAAAGUUUUAUCCAACACGAGGAACUUGUGAAGCAUCAGAGAAUUCACACCUAAAAAAACACUUUUCCUGUUGUGCCUGUGGGAAAAGCUUCACCCACAAUGCUGUUUUUCUUAGACACCAGCGUUGUCAAGCUGAUGGAAACCAGUUUAUCUGUGGUGACUGCGGCAAGAGUUUUAUCCAACACGAGGAACUUGUGAAGCAUCAGAAAAGUCACACAGGAGAGAAACCAUUCUCGUGUUCUGAUUGUGAUAAGUCCUUUAGUACAGAGUCUGGACUUAUAAACCAGAAAAAGAUUCAUACCAACGAAAAGCCAUUUGGGUGCUCAGACAGAAAAACCAUCUGAUCACUAACCAAAGAGUCCACACCGGGGAGAAGCCAUACACUUGUCCUGACUGCGGGAAAGGAUUUAAAACGAAGUUAAACUAUAAUAUGCACCGGAAAAUCCACACAGUCAGGAGGCAGCUCUCCUGCAUACAGUGUGGUGAACACUUUCCUUAUAAAAGUCAAUUGAAGGAGCAUUUAAAGAGCCAUGACACAGGAAUGACCGACAUUAUCACAGAUGUCAUAUAUUCAUAGUAUUAAUGUAUAUGAAGCAUAAGAAAUGUCUAGUUAGCUGGUACCUAGAGAUGAGGUUCUGAGUUAGAAACUGACAGCAGUAAGGAUCCCGGACGAGCCCCCAAUAACUAUUAUAGUAAUAUUUGGCCAUGAGCCCUGAAACUAAGGACCUCACUUUAUUGUAUGUGUGCCUCUAAUUCUGGGGGAAGGGGAGAAAUAUAAUGGCCAUGAAGACCCCCACACACUAAGGAGUUUGUGUUCUGUCUUCACGGCCGUUAUAAUUCUUCUUAUUAAACCCAGAAGGGCUCAAAAUAUUGGAGGCACACAGACAAUGAGGGGAGAUCCAUGGUUUUAGGGAUCAUGACCAAAUAUUACCAGAAUAGAAAAACGAACACAUACGCUAUAUUGCUGCAACCAAUCUUCUUUCUUUAUAUAAAUAUUCCAUAAAUGUUACAAACAAAUCCAACAGUAAAUAAUCACCCAACGUGUUUCAAGUCCGUCCGCAAGAUGUUAACAGGAGACAUAUACGGCUUCUCAAGCUUCCAUGUUCAACUGCAUCAGCACUCUUAUUCAGACGUUUCCAAUGGAGCAGCACUAUAGCGUAUGUGUUUGUUUUUCUAUUGAGAUUAUACUGUGUUUAUAGAGCACCAGCCACUAUGCUUUCACCCAAACACCACUGUUGUGGUUCGUGGCUUUGGGGUAGAAUUAGAUCUGGCUCCAAAGGUUAUACAACCAGUUAAAUAUAUGCAGACCAUGCAUCUGAGGUCAUCAAUGGCUGAGACACAAAAUGGCUGCCACCAUGUGGUCAAGUGAAUACAAUAUAUUCACAGACCAGGUGCAUAGACUUAAUUUAGCAGUAUUACUGGAGACCAAAUGCAUUCAUAGCACCCCACAGACCAACCUAUUUGUUAGGAAUUUUGGAAGAGUUAUAUCCUAAUAUGCAAUGCACAAAUUACCGUAUUUUUCGUCCUAUAGGACGCACCGGCGUAUAAGACGCACCCAAUUUUUAGGGGCAAAAUCUAAAAAAAUAAAGAUUUUGAACCCAAUAGUGGUCCGCAGAUUGAAGACCACUGCAGGAGGAGGUAAUACUCACGUGUCCCCGCCGCUCCGGACCCGUCACCGCUGCCCUGGAUGUCGCUCCAUCGCUGUCGCCGUGUCCCCGUCGCUCCGGAUCGUCUCUGCUGCCGGCCGGGUAUCCUCGCUCUCCGUCGCCGCCAUCACGUCGUUACGCACGCCGACGCACGUACACGACGACGUGAUGACGAGGAAGGAGAGCGCCGGCCAUACAGGGGAUCCCUGAACGGAGAAGACACCGAGGAGGCAGGUAAGGUCCCUCCCGGUGUCCUGUAAGCACUAACCCGGCUAUUCAAUCGGGCUGUUCGGGACCGCAGCGGUGAGAUCGCGGCGGUCCCGAACAGCCCGACUGAACAGCCGGGUUAGUGUCACUUUCCCUUCAGACGCGGCGGUCAGCUUUGAUCGCCGCGUCUGAAGGGUUAAUACAGGGCAUCGCCGCGAUCGGUGAUGUCCUGUAUUAGCCGCGGGUCCCGGCCGUUGAUGCCCCCGCAAUGACCGCCGCGAUAGGGGUGUAUUCACCGUAUAAGACGCACCGACUUUUUCCCCCCCAAGAAAAAUUGCGUCUUAUACAGCGAAAAAUAUGGUAACUAAACACACUCUAACUAAGAGAGAAAAAGAUAAUACUAAUAGCUAGAAACUUAAAUCUGCAGUGUAAGGAAACAUAUACAAGAAUUAUAGCAGAAGACACUAUCUGUUGGCUAUUUGGGUGGAUUUUCCUUAAUUUGUACAACUAUUAUAUAUAUAAAACACACAAAUAAUGUAACUGAAAAUACUCAGCUUCGGGGCACCCUUAUGGCAAGUAUGAAAAUGGAGCAGAGGCAGUGGACAAGUAUCUGCAUUCCUUCUGUUGAUCAAUGGCUUCCACCAGGAAUUUGAUUGGAAGGUGUGAUGGUAUGCUGUCCCGGGAGAGAAAGAGACCCUCAUUCUCCUUGCAAAGCCUUUUAUGUUGUUUUAUCCGCCCCUUAUCCAGCUCACAGGUGGUCUUUGACUAUUGUUACAAAAGGCCCCUGUUUACAUGCCUAGGAGACCGUCUCAAAGAAAAGCCUCCAACUUGCCUUUGUCUAACUAAAUCCAUGUGGCUUUCUGGUAGAGGAUCAUAAAAUAGCCAUAACAACCACAUAUCCCACAUUAUGUUCCGAAGGACUGUCAAAUAUUACCAGAACACAGCCAUGACGUGGACGAAACACACAUUACAGUAUUAAUGACUUUGUACUUUAUGUAUAUAUUAAAUGUUUCACAGCAUACGGCCAACAAAUGACAUGUCUCCAGUAUUUUAUGGCUCGUCAGUCUUUCAAGGUGACCCUGUUGAUUGGUUUUAUAUAAAAAUAUUGUACUUACCUAGCCCUAGUCCCCUGCUCUUCUCUCCUUUUCCAAGGCAAGUACUGGGUGAAGGGCCUGCCCACCCAGCCAAUUAUCGUCUGUCAUUGGACACCACUGUGGGGCAGUGAUUGGCUGAUGGUUCUACUCCAAAGAUUGAAGAGAAAAAAAUGAUAGGACUGUGCUGCGGGGUACAAGGGCUAGGCGAGUGUGUUUUUUUCCCCUGCCCUAGCACCAUAUAGCGGCUAAGAGGGAGAGAGACCACGUGGAGUCAGAAUACACUGGGCAGUCACAAAAUACAUCAAGAAGUCCUAUUGGAAUUGACGGGCAAAAUACGUAAUGAUUUCAUACAAUCAGGUUUAUUAUUAGAUUUUAUAGGACAGGACACUGGUGCAGCUUCCACUUGUGCAGCUAAUAUCCCUCACCAAUCUCUAUAGAGAACAUGUGCACUCUGUUACAUCUUAAAGGAGUAGUCUCAUGAAAAAAAAAUCCCCUAUCCUGCUGGGGUCCGAGCGCUAGUGCCCCAUCACUCCCCUGGGGCAGCGCGUCACAACCCUUGCCUUAAGAGGGGGCAGCCACCCCCUAUGUAUCUUUAUGGGAGAGCUGUUCAGAUGGAGAUAAUAUAACUCCUUUAAAGGUGCGGUCACAUCAGUUAGGGUGACAACCUCUCAUUAUAUGAGUCCAACAUUGUAGAGUCCAAGUCCGGCACUGCUUCUAAUGCUCACGUCCACUGGCUAGAUGGUAACUGCUACACCUAUGGGACGCUGAUGGAGGUGCUUGUCCUUAAAGUUUAGUCAUAGUAACAUAGUUCAUAAGGUUGAAAAAAGACCAGAGUCCAUCAAGUAUCCCUAAUGAGUCCCUACUGAGUUGAUCCAGAGGAAGGCAAAAAACCCUCCAGUUUGACAGGACCGAUCCCUCAUAAAGCCAUGCUGAUAUGGAGUCAUACAUUUUUUUAUCAAUAUACUCCAAAACACCAUCUCUUAGAAAACCCUCAAACAAUUUACAUACAAUGGAGGUUAAACUAACAGGUCUAUAAUUCUCGGGGGCACCUUUUGACCCCUUUUUAAAUAUUGGCACCACAUUUGCCAUGAGCCAGUCCUGGGGAACAGUCCCUGUCACUACAGAGUCCCUGAAUAUUAAAAAUAGGGGUCUGUCUAUUACUUUACUUAUUUCCCUUAGAACACGGGGUGAAUGCCAUCUGGACCGGGUAAUUUGUCUAUUUUGAUUUUUUGUUGGCAGCACUGUACUUCUUCCUGGGUUAGACAGGUGACCAGUACUUCUUCCUGGGUUAGACAGGUGACCUGUACUUCUUCCUGGGUUAGACAGGUGACCAGUACUUCUUCCUGGGUUAGACAGGUGACCUGUACUUCUUCCUGGGUUAGACAGGUGACCUGUACUUCUUCCUGGGUUAGACAGGUGACCUGUACUUCUUCCUGGGUUAGACAGGUGACCUGUACUGGGGAGUUUACCUUAUCUCGCUGUAUUUCACAUGGCAUUCCUCGGUGAAUACAGUGGAGAAGAAUUUGUUUAAUAUAUUUGCUUUUUCCUGAUCCCCAUUUAUAAUUUCUUCCUCAUCAUUUUUUAAAGGGUCAACUCUUUCAUUUUUGAUCUUUUUGCUAUUUAUAUAGUUAAAGAACAUUUUGGGAUUAGUUUUACUCUCUUUGGCAAUGAGUCUUUCUGUGUCUAUUUUUGCGGCAUUUAUCUGUUUUUUACAUAUUUUACAUUUUUCUCAAUAGCUUUUUAAUGCUUCUUCACUGCCUUCAGCCUAUUAUGGACCGAGGCAGAACAUCGCGGCGGCUGGCGAUAGGCUGAGCGCCAUGUGACGCUUCGUUCACAUGGAAGUAUGAAGAAGAUGGAACGGAGGACCGAUCAGCUGUAGUGGUGCGCCGCAGGAACCCAGGAACGUGAGUGAUGGUUUAUUUUCAUUUUUUUGCAGCCCGGGCAGAACGGAGCAGGAGUAGUCUGCCCCAGAGUACUCCUUUAAGUCCAGUAGGCUGCCCCCUCUGGUCAGGUCUGUUAGUUAAUAUUAAAUCUAGUAGGGCGCCCCCUCUGGUCAGGUCUGUUUGUUAAUAUUAAGUCUAGUAGGGCGCCCCCUCUGGUCAGGUCUGUAAGUUAAUAUUAAGUCUAGUAGGGCGCCCCCUCUGGUCAGGUCUGUUAAUAUUAAGUUUAGUAGGGCGCCCCCUCUGGUCAGGUCCAUUGGUUAAUAUUAAAUCUGGUAAGGCGCCCCCUCUGGUCAGGUCUGUUUGUUAAUAUUAAGUCUAGUAGGGCGCCCCCUCUGGUCAGGUCUGUUUGUUAAUAUUAAGUCUAGUAGGGCGCCCCCUCUGGUCAGGUCCGUUGGUUAGUAUUAAGUCUAGUAGGGCGCCCCCUCUGGUCAGGUC